AGCGAACGCUGGCGGCAGGCUUAACACAUGCAAGUCGAGCGGGCACUCCCUUGUCAUCUGCAGACGUCUGAUUACCACGUGGUAACGUACCCUUUGGUUAGGUAUAACUCUGUUUAACUUGCGCUAAUACCGGAUACGCUCUUUCGGGGUAAGGCUUGCUGCUGAAGGAUCGGCCCGCGUCCGAUUAGCUAGUUGGUGGGGUAAUGGCAUAUCAAGGCGUCGAUCAGUAGCUGGUCUGAGACGAUGAUCAGCCACACUGGGACUGAGACACGGACCAGACUCCUACGGGAGGCAGCAGUGGGGAGUAUUGGACAAUGGGCGCAAGCCUGAUCCAGCCAUGCCGCGUGAGUGAUGAAGGCCUUAGGGUAGUAAAGCUCUUUUGUCCGGGACGAUAAUGACGGUACCGGAAGAAUAAGCCCCGGCUAACUUCGUG
rnacentral:rRNA from 1 species